rnacentral:lncRNA from 1 species
AUAGAUUAUAUAGAAAAUACUUAUAUACAAUUAUAUACAAAAUAUAUAAAUACAGAACCCGUCGUAAAAAUAAAUUAGUAUUUUUCGGAAAUUCUCGGUAAGAAAGAGGGGGAAAUACAGAACCCGUCGUAAAAAUAAAUUAGUAUUUUUCGGAAAUUCUCGAUAAGUAAGUGGGGGAUGUAUUUUUUUUUCUGUUUUAAGAAAAGGAAAAUCUUAUUUCCCGAAUCAUUGUACAUUGCAAUUUGAAUUAGGAAUUCUUUGUCCAACUCUAAGCAGCCCUUAACUACAUAUGCAUCUGAUCAUAUAUGUAUUAUCUAUUCCAACAAAUAAUACAAAAGAAGAAGGUUGUAU